rnacentral:rRNA from 1 species
UACGUAGGGGGCGAGCGUUGUCCGGAUUCAUUGGGCGUAAAGAGCUCGUAGGCGGUUCAGUAAGUCGGGUGUGAAAUCUCCGUGCUCAACACGGAGCGGCCACCUGAUACUGCUGUGACUCGAGUCCGGGAGAGGUGAGUGGAACUGCGAGUAUAGAGGUGAAAUUCGUAGAUAUUCGCAAGAACACCAGUGGCGAAGGCGGCUCACUGGCCCGGUACUGACGCUGAGGUGCGAAAGCGUGGGGAGCAAACAGG